UCCCUGGCAGUCCAGUGGUUAAGACUCCAUGUUUCCAAUGCAGGGGGCCUGGGUUCGAUCCCUGGUCAGGGAA
rnacentral:tRNA from 1 species